UACGUAGGGAGCAAGCGUUGUCCGGAAUCAUUGGGCGUAAAGCGCGCGUAGGUGGCUUCGUAAGUCCGUUGUGAAAGUCGGGGGCUCAACCCUCGGAUGCCGGUGGAUACUGUCGGGCUUGAGUACGGAAGAGGCGAGUGGAAUUCCUGGUGUAGCGGUGAAAUGCGUAGAUAUCGGGAGGAACACCAGUGGCGAAGGCGACUACCUGGCCUGUUCUUGACGCUGAGGCGCGAAAGCUAGGGGAGCAAACGGG
rnacentral:rRNA from 1 species